AUUGAACGCUGGCGGCAUGCCUUACACAUGCAAGUCGAACGGCAGCACGGGUGCUUACCCCUGGUGGCGAGUGGCGAACGGGUGAGUAAUACAUCGGAACAUGUCCUGUAGUGGGGGAUAGCCCGGCGAAAGCCGGAUUAAUACCGCAUACGAUCUACGGAUGAAAGCGGGGGACCUUCGGGCCUCGCGCUAUCGGGUUGGCCGAUGGCUGAUUAGCUAGUUGGUGGGGUAAAGGCCUACCAAGGCGACGAUCAGUAGCUGGUCUGAGAGGACGACCAGCCACACUGGGACUGAGACACGGCCCAGACUCCUACGGGAGGCAGCAGUGGGGAAUUUUGGACAAUGGGCGAAAGCCUGAUCCAGCAAUGCCGCGUGUGUGAAGAAGGCCUUCGGGUUGUAAAGCACUUUUGUCCGGAAAGAAAUCCUUGGCCCUAAUACGGUCGGGGGAUGACGGUACCGGAAGAAUAAGCACCGGCUAACUACGUG
rnacentral:rRNA from 1 species